GCUGCGUCAUUUCCUGGAAACGACUUUCAACGGGAAGAGAAUAUUUGGCGCGGAAACUUCUGUUGUGUUGAGCUGUGUACCAAGAGAGAGAUGAAGGUUGUCAAUAAAUAGCAAUGGCUCCGGCUUCUAACACAUAGAAGCAUCGCACCUGGCAUUGAUGAGCCUGGAAAGAGUGGCGAUAACAUCAUUAUUGGCAGUGGCAUCUGGGCCCAGUUCCAAACAUGCCUUUCUUGGAAGCUGGAGGUUUGCUUUAAAGGUUAAAGGCAAAGAAGGAAAAUCCUCGUCUGACACGGUGGCGGAUUUGACCAGUGUGUAUGAAGAGGUGGACGAGGAACUCUCGGAUGGCGAGAGAGGCAGAACGGUGACUGGAUCGUUGAUGAUGUUUUCUUGAAGAUCACUCCGUGACACACACAAUGCAGUGGUUCAGCAGAAGAUGAUGCGCUGUCUGCCGCUGACUUCCCACUCGCCGUCUCUCGCCGCUGUCAUCAAAUGGACUCAUGCUAGCAACAAGUUCUGACUGAGCUCUAUUGUCAUGAAAUGCCAUACAACUGCAGAGUUUCUCUCUUUCUCAUACAAAGUUAUAACGAGGAGCGCCCACAAUGUGUUCUGUGUGGGGAAAGUGCUUACUGAUGAGUCUCUCAUAACGAACAAAUGAGUAAAAGGACACGCCCUGACCAAACAUCCACAGCAUGAUGGUAAACCCAGAGAGUUAUUUCAGAACAGGGCAGAAUGCUUCAGGAAACAGUGGUUCAGGAAACAGUGCUUCAGGAAACAGGGCUUCAGGAAACAGUGCUUCGGGAAACAGGGCUUCAGGAAACAGUGCUUCGGGAAACAGGGCUUCAGGAAACAGUGCUUCGGGAAACAGUGCUUCGGGAAACAGUGCUUCAGGAAACAGUGCUUCGGGAAACAGUGCUUCGGGAAACAGUGCUUCGGGAAACAGUGCUUCAGGAAACAGUGCUUCAGGAAACAGUGCUUCAGGAAACAGUGGAAAAGUAAGUCAGCUAGCAAGACAUUGUUGUCAUUUUAUAACAGGUGAUGGAUGAUAAGCAGAAAUAAGGGAAUACUAGCUAACUCUCAUAGUAGAUGUGAGUUUCUCUUUCAAACAAUCCUCUGGCCUUGUACACAGCUAAUAGCUAACAUUCACCAAAGCAAGCUAGCUACUGAUAGUGCAACCCUCAGUAACAGUCCAGAUGAAAAAUGAUCAGGCCUACUGUUCAUCUUACUGUUGAAAACUAGUCUAGGUUGGAACUGUUGCUGUUAAAAUACAAUAAUAAUUUGUAUUCUUAACUGGAAUAAACUGAUUGAAGCAAGAUGAUAUUUGAGGCAAACACACUCACACAGUUCUGUUUUUAUUUAUUUUUUAUUUCACCUUUAUUUAACCAGGUAGGCUAGUUGAGAACAAGUUCUCAUUUGCAACUGCGACCUGGCCAAGAUAAAGCAUAGCAGUGUGAACAGACCACAGAGUUACACAUGGAGUAAACAAUU
ensembl:lncRNA